rnacentral:tRNA from 1 species
GACAAUGUAGCCAAGUAGCUAUGGCGAUUGAUUGGAAAUCAAUUCCUCUUUGAGGGUGUAUAGUAGGUUCAAAUCGUCCCUUUUGCU